rnacentral:rRNA from 1 species
GACGAACGCUGGCGGCGUGCCUAAUACAUGCCAGUUGAGCGCUGAAGGUUGGUACUUGUACCAACUGGAUGAGCAGCGAACGGGUGAGUAACGCGUGGGGAAUCUGCCUUUGAGCGGGGGACAACAUUUGGAAACGAAUGCUAAUACCGCAUAAAAACUUUAAACACAAGUUUUAAGUUUGAAAGAUGCAAUUGCAUCACUCAAAGAUGAUCCCGCGUUGUAUUAGCUAGUUGGUGAGGUAAAGGCUCACCAAGGCGAUGAUACAUAGCCGACCUGAGAGGGUGAUCGGCCACAUUGGGACUGAGACACGGCCCAAACUCCUACGGGAGGCAGCAGUAGGGAAUCUUCGGCAAUGGACGAAAGUCUGACCGAGCAACGCCGCGUGAGUGAAGAAGGGUUUCGGAUCGUAAAACUCUGUUGGUAGAGAAGAACGUUGGUGAGAGUGGAAAGCUCAUCAAGUGACGGUAACUACCCAGAAAGGGACGGCUAACUACGUG